GAGUUUGAUCGUGGCUCAGGACGAACGCUGGCGGCGUGCCUAAUACAUGCAAGUUGAGCGCUGAAGGUUGGUACUUGUACCAACUGGAUGAGCAGCGAACGGGUGAGUAACGCGUGGGGAAUCUGCCUUUGAGCGGGGGACAACAUUUGGAAACGAAUGCUAAUACCGCAUAAAAACUUUAAACACAAGUUUUAAGUUUGAAAGAUGCAAUUGCAUCACUCAAAGAUGAUCCCGCGUUGUAUUAGCUAGUUGGUGAGGUAAAGGCUCACCAAGGCGAUGAUACAUAGCCGACCUGAGAGGGUGAUCGGCCACAUUGGGACUGAGACACGGCCCAAACUCCUACGGGAGCAGCAGUAGGGAAUCUUCGGCAAUGGACGAAAGUCUGACCGAGCAACGCCGCGUGAGUGAAG
rnacentral:rRNA from 1 species